UCAGGCCUAACACAUGCAAGUCGAGCGGGGUUUUCGGACCUAGCGGCGGACGGGUGAGUAAUGCGUAGGAAGCUACCCGAUAGAGGGGGAUACCAGUUGGAAACGACUGUUAAUACCGCAUAAUGUCUACGGACCAAAGUGUGGGACCUUCGGGCCACAUGCUAUCGGAUGCGCCUACGUGGGAUUAGCUAGUUGGUGAGGUAAUGGCUCACCAAGGCGACGAUCCCUAGCUGGUUUGAGAGGAUGAUCAGCCACACUGGAACGGAGACACGGUCCAGACUCCUACGGGAGGCAGCAGUGGGGAAUAUUGGACAAUGGGCGC
rnacentral:rRNA from 1 species